rnacentral:miRNA from 2 species
GGGGUCAAACUGUACGUUCUAUG